UGCGCGAUGGAUGCCAACCUCAUCAUCUGCCUCUGGUGUGCCCACCCACUAGUUGUGUGCUCUGCUACUCCGUAUAGUGCUAACUCGUCGUAUGUCGACCUCGCCAUCUUCGGCUCCGGCACAGCAUGCACACACGUCAUCAGAGUAAUCUGAGGCCGAGACUGAGCUGCUGCAAAUUCGACCAAUCCGCCAUGAAGCAAAUGAAGUCCCUACAGCAGGAACAGCCAGUCCCUACAGUAGGAACAGCUAUCUGAUCAGAUAUUCCGAAGUUCAGAGUGGUAUCCUCUUCCAUGUACAGGAAUCCCUGACCAAUGCUGCGGAGCGGCAACUGCUUCUAUGUGUACGACACCCUCGAUGUCCACUGCGUCUAGUGUUCCUCUGGCGUGUUCACCCGCGCGCUAGCUCUGUCCGCCGCCUCCUACGUCAACAACCUCACCAUCUUCAACUCCGGCACCGCCUGGCCCCACAUCACGGGCGAAAUUUGUGGCCAAUACCGAGCGGCCUGUCCAUCUCUUUUGCCUGGCCUCUACGUCAUGAUGUUCUGGGCAAGCAGCAGCUGGCACAUGCUAACUUAGCUUCAACGGCGUGACAUUGGUAUACCUUCAGUGCAGCCGUUACAUAAACAAGACUAGGAAGGCAUGAGCAUGGAUCCUCACCUUCCAUGUAAAAGAAGGCCCGACGGUUCAUCACGUAGAUCGCGUUGACAACACCGGCCAAGACAUCGAAGAAUAUGUCUUGUUUGGACAGCUUGGUGUGCAUAUUUUGAGCCAUAGAGAACAAUCAUUUAUCUCAUAAUUUUCAGGGGAAGUCUAGCAUUCCAAGAUGGAAAAUCUUAUUGAGUCCGUCUUGAACAACAUAUCCUCCUUCUCUGUUUACCUAUUAAGCAGAUGCCAUGAAGGUAACUGAAUUUAUACAAAACGGAGAGUAGGCGCUAUCCAUCGCAGCUACUAAAUGUUGUUGGUGGGAUGCAAACAGGGCUUCUAACUUUCGAUCACCUGUCCUUGUCUGAAAUUUG